rnacentral:hammerhead_ribozyme from 1 species
GCACUGCUGAGGAGUUCCACGACAGAACGAAACGACUGUCCAGUGC